rnacentral:piRNA from 1 species
UUAUGAAAAAGGCCUGCGCUU